rnacentral:misc_RNA from 1 species
CUGUUCAUAUUCUCUGGCGUAUACAUGAGCGCAAGUCUCAAGUUACAUAUAGAGAUAUAUUCUUGACUAUGCCCUCUGUUCUCUGAUGAUGCCGGCCACCACGCCCUGAUGUCAUGAUCCAGUGCCAGCUCGUUGUGGGGGAAGCCGAGCAGCCUGCAGCCUGCCCUCUGGUGCGGCUGCGGGCUCUCUGGCGCCGGUGGGCAGGGCUUGGCUGGCGCUGUGCCGAAGAGACGUAUAGCCAUGCUCACGCCUGGACCGGCCCACUACGAGUCCUGCCCGCGUAUUCAGCACGUACACGCAUCCACCAUCUCUUCUCCUGCUGUUACUGCGCUGCGGUGCUGUCGUGCGUAGUUCUGGGCCUCGGCUGCUGUGUAUGCGCAGUAGAAUGGCAGUGGGCUGGGCGACGCCGAAGGGCGUCGGUGGACCCGGUUCUCUGUCAUUGCCGCCGUGCGACACAGCGGUGGGUGGGCGGCGGUUACGUAUGCGUGUAUAGGUGCUGACUUGUUUGUGGUGGGGUGGACACGUUGGAGACAAAAGCGAACCUCUCGCGUGUAUGGGGUGGGGAGGGUCAAAUACAUCGCCUCCGUCCGCAGUGUGCGCGCACGUGCAUCUGCGUCGAGUCCACCUCAAAAAAAAUAGAAUGUGUGGGACAAAGAGAUAUGCAUGCUGGCCGCAGCGCACGUCUGUAGGAAUUUCUACCGGCAGAAAUACGAGUACUUCACGACCUUAUGUUUGGCGCCAUUCUUGUCGAGGCGCACGCCCGCUGUGGUAGAGAGAUACGGAGCUAACGCAAUGGAGAGCGGUGGAACGGUGUGGUCCCUAUCCGAGCAGACCAAGGCGAAGAGAGAGAGGUGGGAAAGUCUUGUCAGCCACCCAGGCACGAGUGACACUAAAUGUGUGUACGGAUCUGUCGUUGGUGUCUUCCAAUUUCUGUGUUCUCUGUCUCUGUCUACUCGUUGCCACGGGCAGCUUGCGAGGAGCGCAAGAUGAUCCUUUUCACACCCACCCAUGAGAUUACGCGCGCACACGGGGCUGUGCAGGGCAGUCAAUAGGUUUCAUAAUCCUCACGUAUCCACCUUAGCUGAAGAAGAGGGCGUUUUGGAGAGGGGAAGGAGACGGAGGGUUGGCCGACGAUUCAUGACUGCUUUCGCCUGUUCCGCAUGCUCCAACUCUCUCGUCCUUACCUUUUUUCGUCCCUUCUUCUGAUGGGUACUCCGUCUUUCUCAUCCUCUCCCUAUGUGCGUGUCGGUGCGCAUGCGCGCUUGUGUGUGUAAGUCUCUUUCCACGUCGACGCAAGCGGCUCUCUUUCUGUUUGCCGGCGUUCUCGAUUCUUCCUUUUUUUUUUUGCUUUCCUAUUAGUUUUCUGGGCACGGAUCUUCAGCUAAUACGGACUGCUCUAUGCGCCCCGUGCUCCGCUGUUGCCGCAACAGCUCAUGCCUUCUGUGCUUGAAAUCAUUUUACCUCCCUUCCUCAGGGAGGGGGGAAGGGGCGCGUGCUUGCUGUUGUUGCGCUGCUUCGACUCUGCACCUCCUUCCCCUUCCCCCACCUUGUAGCCCAUCCGUAUCAUCGGAUACCCGCCACGCCGCGAGUUUUGCGUUUGUGUCCCUGGCCGCCGCCCCCGCCCUUCUCUCUACCUCUGCGUGAGCAGCAGCCGUGCCUUCGCGCUUUGCCAUACAAAUCACGAGGUAUCUGGGCACGUGCGGUCAGGCUCGCACGUGCCCCUCAAGCUAACCUGCUCCUCCUGUUGCUGCGUGUAUGGCGGCACCCAAAGGGCGAUAGCCAGCAUAUUGCGUACACCAGCAGAGGGCAUACCUGCACGACGAGACGGAGGCGUGCACGCUUGCAUCUGCGCACACAACACACAAAACACAACACACACACACACACACACACACACCAACACGCACGGGCGUAGUGAAAUGCCCCGCCAUACGGGCCACACGGCAGCGCGGCGCCUCUUCAAGAAGAGCGAAGCAACAGUAGCAGGAGGGACUCUACUCGGCACUCAGACACGUAUACGCACGUGGGCGUACACACACACCGACGAGCAGAGCUUUAUGACUCUGUGGGGUCUAUCUCACCUCGCAGUCUCUCUUCCGUAUCAUCAUCUUGUUUAUUUCGUGUCUCCCUCUUUCUUGAUAGUGGCCUGCACUUCCCUGCGCGAAUCGCUAGACAGCUCUCACACGUACAGGCGCACAGAGCCCUGCUUUGCUGCUGUAGUCUUCGUCUAGCUUCCCUUCUUUCCUACACCCCAUCAUCUG